GUGGCAGGGAAAAGUCAAGAAACAGAAGUGAAUGUUUCAUGUCUGGGAUACGCUUGGAUCACUUGACCAGAAGACACUUGCUGAUCUUAACUGAGGCUAAGAAUAAGUCAGUGAACCAGGACAAGACUGAGAAAAACAAGUCCAAGACCUGUACAUGAAGUGUGUACAAAGUGUGUUUAGCUUCAGUGACUACUGGGACUCUGAACCACUGUCAUCCUAUUAAUUGUUAACUUGGAGUCCACAUAAGAACUGUAUAUAAUAAACUGGUGAGUGUUGCGAUUUCCUUUCUUUAAUCAGCUUCCUUAUCCUGGACUGCGCACACCGGUCCAGAACUGGAUAUUCCAGGAGCAGUUGUGGCAAUGCCAAAUACAGCAGAGAGUUCCCACCAGCAGGGAAGUUUUCUGGACACUGUACUGGAGCUCAGCUCACUGGACUUUUACCUCCUUAGGUGUUCUCAGGUCUCAUGAUGCUGUAGCAUGACCUGUUAUAAUCACCUGCAGCAGCUAUCACCUGUUAGCUGGGAACUGUUAUUCAGGUUGUUUUUUUUUUCUGUGAAGUACACCCCACCAGCUCAGGCUGCUGGUGUCAGAUCCCCAGCAGUUUAUGCACAGUGUUUCCCUGAAUUUCUCUAUAGUAAGCAAGCUGGAAUGACUACUUGCCUUUGAAUAAGUGUAGCAGAUAGUCAGCAUAGCCUUUUCCCAGGAUUUUUAAACAAAUUGCUCUUUACUUAGAUGUUGGGGACAAUAUACUGAUUGAAACAAAGAUUUCCCCUGUUUACCUUCAUUUGCCAUUCUCAGCCCUGGCUGCUCAAAACUGGAAGAAAAAGAGAAACCAAGUCACAUUUGGAGGUAGUGCAACAACCCUUAUAGAUAGAGGAGAAGCAGCGACUAUUAUGUAUCUUGUGCUUAGUGAAUAUUUGACUCAGCCUUACAUUCCUUCAAGCAAAGAAGGGAAACAUGGUCUAGAAGAAACAUCUGUGAAGUGAGUGCAAAGGUGUUUGGAAAAGUUUAUUCACAAAGUCAGUAUCAGUUGUUCCCUGCCAAAGGAGAAGGAGAUAUUGACUGCUGUUCUGCAGAAGGUCUGCCCAGCAACUGACCCUCUAAUCAAUGGGAUAAUUGAGCAGAGACCACAUUUUUCAUUUUGCAGAUGAUAUCAAGCUUGGAGGGACUGCAAGGCUACCAGUGAAGUGGCUCAGGCUUCAGAGUGAUCCUGACAAAUGUGUGAAAACCAUCUGACCCUUCCCAUCUUUGCCAAUUCAGUUCAAUAGAUGCAGGCUCAUCUGACUGGGAACAAAUGCAGGGAGGGAGAUGACUGAUUUGGCAGCAGCUCUGCAGAAAGCGAUUGGAGAAUCACAGGGGAUGAGAAGAAGAACAUGAAUCAGCAUUCUGAAAAAAAGGCAAACAUCAUACGGAGAUGUAUAAAUAGGAGUUUUAAAUAUAGGCCAGUUAAAAUAGUCGCCCUGCUCCACUUGGCUCUUUAGAGGACUUGGCUAGCAUAAAGCAGUUCCUGACUUUGUAAUUAAAAAAAAAGUUUCAAUGACUUUUUUUUUAAUCAAGAAAGAAGAAAACUGAAAGGAUAAUAUAAAAUUAAUGGAAUUAAGCAGAAUCAAAGGGGUUCAGUUUAUUAGCUCUUGAUGCAUGUCCUAAUGAUAAGGAUAGUAAGCACUGGUAGGUAGCGUUGGCUGGGAAGUUGUGGAGUCUCUAUUAUUGGAUGUUUUUAAAAAUAGGUUAGACAAACUGAUGUUGGGAAUCUAGGUUGUAGAAACGGUGAUCCUACCUUUUGGGAAGAGGAUGGACUUCAGGGAGUAGACGUGCCUUCAAGAGCCUUCCCAGCUCUACCUCGGCCAUUCUUUGAUUUGGCACUGGAUGAAUGAGAACUAAGACAUGCGGCUGGGGGACAACAGCCGGAGACCUGAGCUGUUGAAGGGAGAACAGGAACAGUGUCAGCAUCUCUGUACUGGCCAGAAAAUGACAAGGAGAUAUAGAAAACAUGAAAAUGAUUGCAUAUCCAUGCCACAUGUGGCCCCAUUUUCUUAUAAAUAAGAAAAAUAAUAAUAUGCCAGCUUGAAAACAACGUGCAUGUCAUAUAUUGUCUUUUGUACUGCCUCAGCAGUGCUGUAAAAAUGGACACAUGCUAAUACCGAGACAACAACAGAUUGGUAAAGCAAAAAUUUACCAACUCUCCAAAUGCCACUUGCAUUUCAUAGUAUGCAGAAAACAGUCUUACUCUUCCAAAACCUCAGUGUUUUCAUAUGCAGAUUCAUUUUUGUGCAAGGCCAGCAAGAAAAUCACAAGCUCUCUUUAUCCAGCCUGAGCGAAAGAAAAAUGAAUUUGACAGCUGGCCUUAAACACUUUCUCCUUGAUGAUUCAAAGAAAAUGGAAUCCAUCUAAAGCUGUUGAUUAAUUCUUCAAAUACAGAUGGAGAGCUAUACCUUGAAAAUCUACCCCUAACAAGUAUAAUAAAUGAAUGCGUGGAGGAGGGGGAAGCCUUUCUUUUACAAGGUUUUCAAACAGCCCUUUUCAAGGGAUGUAAUACCUGUUUUGUAUUAUAGGAUGACUUUAUCUCUAUAGUUCAUGAAAUGUAAGAGAAAAGCUUUAUAGAUUCUCAUAAAGGUGAUAUGUACUACACAGGCAGAGUCUAGAUUUUGAAGAGUUACCAUGGAUCCAAGCUAAACAAUCUCUUCCUUUUCAUACAGUCCAAAUAAUUAUUGGAGGCAAGAGGCUAGUCAACAGUGCAAAUAAAAUAGCUUCUAAAAUAUAUUUUAGUAGAAUUUUGAAAGAAUAGCAAUAGUCAUUGAUUACAAGGCACAUUUCUAGAAAGUACCAGAAUAUUUCAUCAUAUAAUUAAAAUGUUUUUCAAUGUAUUUGGGGCUAUUUAAUAAUUGUAAUAUUUCUUCACGGCAGUUCCAGCACACAGACUUUUUUACUGUCGUUAUCAAUAGUAAAAAGUUUAAGAAUUCCUCUACAUUUUUAUAACUGUAUCAGAGUUUUCCACAUAAUGGCCUGGAAGCAAAACCGAACUCUUUAUGGUGACUGAACUAAAAUCUGUCUCUACUUUAAAAAUAUUACAGUAGACUUGGUGAAAUGCAAUACAUUUUGUGUUUAUGUGUACCUUUAAAAGAGAGGACAGUAAUAAGAAUUUUAUUGAACACCCAUAUGUACACAUUCAGUGUGCUAUAAAAUAUCUGAUUAAAUCCAAUUAACAGAGAACACUACAAUUAAAAAAAUUCCUCUUUCACCUCUUUUGAAACUGGCACAUUUUCAUUAAAAUCAAUGCUGUAGAAAUGUACAAUUUGCAGGAACUAAUUUAUCUUCCCUUUUUUAUUUCUUGUGAAAUCAUAGGAGGCUUUUAAAAGUCAUUUCCUGCGCAGAAAAUAGGAUAUAAAAUACAGUAACUUUUACUGCAUCUGGAGAAUAUAGUUUUCCCAACUGUUCUGUUCAGUGGUAGUUACAUGACUCUUCUAGACAUGCUGACAUUAAAAAAACCCACCAAUUUUUGAAGGAUGAAAAGAGAAAUUUUAGGAAUAUAUUUCUCAGGUUGUCCACAUUGAAGAUUGCAGUACAAAAAACCCAAUCUUUUUUUGAGCCAUCAUUUCUAAUAUCAUGCGAGUAAAACAUAUUAGCAAAGGAAAGAAGCAAGUCAAAUAUAUUCUUACAAGGCAGGGCACACUGUGCAUGCAAAUGGGAUCAUAUAUAAGCCCUACUCUUCCCAUUCGGUGAAAUAUUGCUUUAGAGCUCUUUCAGAAUAUAAAGUACAAAGAAGCAUAUAUAGCAUUCAGAUGCCCUCUGUGCAGAGGAAAACUUAUUUUCCUUUGAAAAUAGGGACUUUAAUCAGCAGUGAUUAAUCCCCAGACAGCAGGACAUUGUGGCCCACCUGCACAGGACCAGCGGGUGAGCUGAGCUCAAGGUUUGGUUCCAGUUCACCCCACCUAGCAAAUGACACUGGAGAUGAAAUCCCUAUUUGAACUGGCUGUCACCUAAGAGGUUGUCUACAUCGUACAAACAUAAGGUAAGGCAAAGCAAAAGUGGUUUUGUGGAAACACCAUCAUCUCCCCAUGCUCCGGCCCCGGUAGCUAAAAAACAACCGGCUUCACAUAACAUGAUCUCCUGCCACUCCUACUGUAAUUAGUUGGUGAGUUUACAUUAGUGGUGAAGACCCUGGGGUGAAGUACAUUCCCGGGCCAAGACUCAGGACAAGAUUUUACGUAUCAUUUAACUCCUUCCUUUAAAUAGUAUACAACUGAGAAUUAAAGAAUCCAUAAUCUGUGGUUUGCCUAGGUGGAGGGGUGCAUUUCAUUCAGUCGGAAUUCAGAAUGAAGAUGCACCAGUUAAAAAAUAAUCAGAAGAUUGAUGUCUGGUUGAUGAAAGGGGAUGGUAAAGAAUAGAAAAAUGUUAUUCUUUACACUGAGACUAAGAGGCUUAGUAUAAAGAAUAAAAAUACAUUUAUAAGAGGCUAGGUAAUGAUUAAUGAAUAUUGUAAACAUGUCCCAUGGCUACAGAAAAUCAGUAUAUUUUAUUUUGGGAGACAGCAAACAAUGUUUUCAAAGCAUCCUAUCAGGCCCCAUGGUAAGUGAUUGACGCUAAAGUAAUAAUUUUAAUCUACUUAAAGCCAUUUGAAAUUGGAUUUUUAAUAUAGAGUAUGACCAGAAAAAAGAUUAACAGCGUUAUCUAUGACUAUAUCUGGUACAAACAAUACAGUAUGUCUGAGAACAACUUUCAUGUGUAUGAAAAUGACAGCUGGAUAGGAAAUAUUUGAAAAGUGGUCUUGCUUAGCUUCAGAAUGAACCAUGGACCUUCUACCUUACCCAGACAGAAACCAAGCAGACAAAAGAAUUUUAAGUAUUGCAUUAGGGAAGAUCUUUCAGCUAGCGUCAGUAUGGAGACAUUAAUGUGAAGAUCAGAGGUUACCACAAUACAAGGUACGAAAAUCAUGUCUGUCAUGAUAGUUUGUAAUGUGGAACAAAGAAUAAACUUAGCAAAUGUUCAUUUAUGGCAAUGCAAUUACAAAAGGUAUUCUUGCAGCACUGAAGGAAAGCAUGAGUGAACCCUUCUCCACCCAGUAUGAGGCUUCAUUGUUUGUAAUAAACUUUCUGUGACAACU